AGAUCGUGAGGACUACUGGAGCGCUUAGAAGUGAGAAUGCCGGUGUGAGUAACGUAAGGUAGGUGAGAAUCCUACCCACUAUUUGACCAAGGUUUCCAGGGUCAAGUUCGUCUUCCCUGGGUUAGUCGGGACCUAAGGCGAGGCUGAAAAGCGUAGUCGAUGGACAACAGGUUUAUAUUCCUGUACUACUUAUAGGACUGAUGGAGUGACGGAGAAAGCUAGGAAGAGCCAGUUAUUGGAUUCUGGUCUAAGCGUUUAGGUUGAUGCACAGGAAAAUCCGUGAUAUCGAUAAGACUGAAGCGUGAUGGCGACGUGGUCUACGGACCGCUAAGUCUUUUGAAGCUAUGCUUCCAAGAAAAACUUCUAAAGAUAUGUUAUAAGUACCCGUACCUAGAACCGACACAGGUGGUCAAGGAGAGAAUCCUAAGGUGAGCGAGAGAACUAUGGUUAAGGAACUCGGCAAAAUGACCCCGUAACUUCGGAAUAAGGGGAGGUGUAGCGAUACACCCUCAGGAAAUAGGUCCAGGCAACUGUUUACCAAAAACACAGGUCUCUGCUAAAGCGUAAGCUGAUGUAUAGGGGCUGACGCCUGCCCAGUGCUGGAAGGUUAAGAUGAUUUGUUAGGUGGACGAAAGUCGAUAACACCGAAGCUUUGAUUUGAAGCCCCAGUGAACGGCGGCGAUAACUAUAAUCGUCCAAAGGUAGCGAAAUUCCUUGUCAGGUAAGUUCUGACCCGCACGAAAGGCGUAAUGAUUUGGGCGCUGUCUCAACCAUGGACUCGGUGAAAUCUUAAUACCUGUGAAAAUGCAGGUUACCCGCGACAGGACGGAAAGACCCCAUGGAGCUUUACUGUAGCUUGAUAUUGAAGUUAGGUGAUUUAUGUAGAGGAUAGGUGGUAGACUGUGAUGUAUGGACGCCAGUUCAUACGGAGUCGCCCUUGGAAUACCACCCUUAAAUCAUUUGACCUCUAACUUACUCCCGUUAUCCGGGAGGAGGACAGUGUCUGGUGGGCAGUUUGACUGGGGCGGUCGCCUCCCAAAGAGUAACGGAGGCGCUCAAAGGUUCCCUCAGAUUGGUCGGAAAUCAAUCAAAGAGUGUAAUGGUAUAAGGGAGCUUGACUGCGAGACCUACAAGUCGAGCAGGUGCGAAAGCAGGACAUAGUGAUCUGGCGGUAGAAUAUGGAAUUGCCGUCGCUUAACGGAUAAAAGUUACCCUGGGGAUAACAGGCUGAUAGCGCCCAAUAGUUCACAUAGACGGCGCUGAUUGGCACCUCGAUGUCGGCUCGUCACAUCCUGGAGGUGGAUUCGCUUCCAAGGGUUGGGCUGUUCGCCCAUUAAAGUGGCACGCGAGCUGGGUUCAGAACGU
rnacentral:rRNA from 1 species